rnacentral:rRNA from 1 species
CGAACGCUGGCGGCGUGCUUAACACAUGCAAGUCGAGCGAUGAAACACCUUCGGGUGUGAAUUAGCGGCGAACGGGUGAGGAACACGUGAGAAAUCUGCCUUCAACACUGGGAUAACUCCGGGAAACCGGGGCUAAUACCGGAUAUGAAAUCUGCGGGCAUCCGCGGAUUUGGAAAGUUUUUCGGUUGAAGAUGAUCUCGCGGCCUAUCAGCUUGUUGGUGAGGUAAUGGCUCACCAAGGCGACGACGGGUAGCCGGCCUGAGAGGGCGACCGGCCACACUGGGACUGAGACACGGCCCAGACUCCUACGGGAGGCAGCAGUGGGGAAUAUUGGACAAUGGAGGAAACUCUGACCCAGCGACGCCGCGUGCGGGAUGAAGGCCUUCGGGUUGUAACCGCUUUCAGCAGGAGAAGCGAAAGUGACGGUACCUGCAGAAGAAGCACGGCUAACUAUGUGCCAGCAGCCGCGGUAAUCUGAUG